GACGAACGCUGGCGGCGUGCCUAAUACAUGCAAGUCGAGCGGACUUGAAGAGAAGCUUGCUUCUCUGAAGGUUAGCGGCGGACGGGUGAGUAACACGUAGGCAACCUGCCUGCAAGCCUGGGAUAACUGCGGGAAACCGCAGCUAAUACCGGAUACGCAGUGAAGAUGCAUAUCUUAACUGGGAAAGGCGGAGCAAUCUGUCGCUUGUAGAUGGGCCUGCGGCGCAUUAGCUAGUUGGUGGGGUAACGGCUCACCAAGGCGACGAUGCGUAGCCGAACUGAGAGGGUGAUCGGCCACACUGGGACUGGGACACGGCCCAGACUCCUACGGGAGGCAGCAGUAGGGAAUCUUCCGCAAUGGACGCAAGUCUGACGGAGCAACGCCGCGUGAGUGAGGAAGGCCUUCGGGUCGUAAAGCUCUGUUGCCAGGGAAGAAUGUCGAGGAGAGUAACUGCUCUUCGAAUGACGGUACCUGAGAAGAAAGCCCCGGCUAACUACGUGCCAGCAGCCGCGGUAAAAC
rnacentral:rRNA from 1 species